rnacentral:rRNA from 1 species
UGGGGAAUUUUGACAAUGGCGAAAGGCCUGAUCCAGCAAUGCCGCGUGUGUGAAGAAGGCCUUCGGGUUGUAAGCGACUUUUGUCCGGAAAGAAAUCCUUGGCUUCUAAUACAGUCGGGGGGAUGACGGUACCGGAAGAAUAAGCACCGGCUAACUACGUGCCAGCAGCCGCGGUAAUACGUAGGGUGCAAGCGUUAAUCGGAAUUACUGGGCGUAAAGCGUGCGCAGGCGGUUUUGCUAAGACCGAUGUGAAAUCCCCGGGCUCAACCUGGGAACUGCAUUGGUGAGCUGGCAGGCUAGAGUAUGGCAGAGGGGGGUAAAUUCCACGUAGUAGCAGUGAAAUGCGUAGAGAUGUGGAGGAAUACCG